rnacentral:rRNA from 1 species
AGGGUUUGAUCAUGGCUCAGAACGUACGCUGGCGGCACGCCUAAUACAUGCAAGUCGAACGAAGUAGCAAUACUUAGUGGCAGACGGGUGAGUAACAUGUAGGUAUCUGCCCUUUGGCCUGGAAUAACACGAGGAAACUUGUGCUAAUACCGGAUAAGUCUUUACGGAGAAAGCUUUAUGCACCAUUGGAUGAGCCUGCACUUGAUUAGUUUGUUGGUGGGGUAAUGGCCUACCAAGACAAUGAUCAAUAGCUGAUUUGAGAGGAUGAUCAGCCACAUUGGGACUGAGACACGGCCCAAACUCCUACGGGAGGCAGCAGUAGGGAAUCUUGCACAAUGGAGGAAACUCUGAUGCAGCGAUGCCGCGUGAGUGAAGAAGGCCUUUGGGUUGUAAAGCUCUUUCGUCGGGGAAGAAAAUGACUGUACCCGAAUAAGAAGGUCCGGCUAACUUCGUGCCAGCAGCCGCGGUAAUACGAAGGGACCUAGCGUAGUUCAGAAUUACUGGGCUUAAAGAGUUCGUAGGUGGUUAAAAAAGUUGGUGGUGAAAUCCCAGAGCUUAACUCUGGAACUGCCAUCAAAACUUUUUAGCUAGAGUAUGAUAGAGGAAAGCAGAAUUUCUAGUGUAGAGGUGAAAUUCGUAGAUAUUAGAAAGAAUACCGAUUGCGAAGGCAGCUUUCUGGAUCAUUACUGACACUGAGGAACGAAAGCAUGGGUAG